CGAUGAGAUUUAUCGAUUACACCAAGAUGCCUCCUCGGUUCAAGUUUUCUACUGUGAAAUCCGGAUAUAUAUUCUUAUGUUUCGGAAUUUACAAGAAACAGUUUCCCGUGAACAGGUUUUGAACUCGGAAGGAUUUUACUCCAGCCACUCCUUAAAAGAACGAUAGACACUCACUCAAACGAAGCGGGACUAGGUGGACAAAUGGUCAUAAAUCACCGAACGAAAUUACAGAUUCCGUUGGAAUUUCGUGAGCAAAAUUUUCCCAAGGUUGUGUGUAAGAAGUGAAAAAGAAUGCUUCUCGUUUUUCUUUUGUGUCCAUUGGAUUCUUUAUAUGUUCCAUGGAUCAAUCAUUGUGAAAUGAAUCUAUUACUCCAGUAUAUACAAUGUAGCAAUGAACGGUGAAUUUACGAAAUUUAUGAUCAGAGCCACGGAUGCGUCUACAAUAAUGAAUCUGAGACAUUCAACUCACUGGAUUAUUUGUGCCAUUUUCAAUAGAAUUUUUUGUGAAAUAUUAACAUUUAAUGCUACAA